rnacentral:pre_miRNA from 1 species
CAACUACUCCCUCUGUACCAAAUUUCUUGUCUUAGAUUUGUCUAGAUACGGAUGUAUCUAAUACUAAAAUGUGACUUGAUACAUUUGUAUCUAGACAAAUCUAAGACAAGAAUUUUGGGACGGAGGGAGUACUUU